AACGAACGCUGGCGGCAGGCUUAACACAUGCAAGUCGAGCGCCCCGCAAGGGGAGCGGCAGACGGGUGAGUAACGCGUGGGAAUCUACCCAUCUCUACGGAAUAACGCAUGGAAACGUGUGCUAAUACCGUAUACGUCCUUCGGGAGAAAGAUUUAUCGGAGAUGGAUGAGCCCGCGUUGGAUUAGCUAGUUGGUGGGGUAAAGGCCUACCAAGGCGACGAUCCAUAGCUGGUCUGAGAGGAUGAUCAGCCACACUGGGACUGAGACACGGCCCAGACUCCUACGGGAGGCAGCAGUGGGGAAUAUUGGACAAUGGGCGCAAGCCUGAUCCAGCCAUGCCGCGUGAGUGAUGAAGGCCCUAGGGUUGUAAAGCUCUUUCACCGGUGAAGAUAAUGACGGUAACCGGAGAAGAAGCCCCGGCUAACUUCGUGCCAGCAGCCGCCGCAGUAA
rnacentral:rRNA from 1 species